UACGGGGGGGGCAAGCGUUGUUCGGAAUUACUGGGCGUAAAGGGCUCGUAGGUGGCCAACUAAGUCAGACGUGAAAUCCCUCAGCUUAACUGGGGAACUGCGUCUGAUACUGGAUGGCUUGAGUUUGGGAGAGGGAUGGCGGAAUUCCAGGUGUAGCGGUGAAAUGCGUAGAUAUCUGGAGGAACACCGGUGGCGAAGGCGGCAUCCUGGACCAACACUGACACUGAUGAGCGAAAGCCAGGGGAGCAAACGGG
rnacentral:rRNA from 1 species